AGAGUUUGAUCAUGGCUCAGGACGAACGCUGGCGGCGUGCCUAACACAUGCAAGUCGAACGGGACCGGGGGCAACUUCGGUUCAGUGGCGGACGGGUGCGUAACACGUGAGGAACAUGACCUUCGGCGGGGGAUAGCCGGCCCAACGGCCGGGUAAUACCGCGUACGACCAUUGGAGGACAUCCUUUGAUGGUGAAAGCAGCAAUGCGCCGAUGGAGUGCCUCGCGGCCUAUCAGCUAGUUGGUGGGGUAACGGCUCACCAAGGCGACGACGGGUAGCUGGUCUGAGAGGAUGGCCAGCCACAUUGGGACUGAGACACGGCCCAGACUCCUACGGGAGGCAGCAGUGGGGAAUAUUGCGCAAUGGACGAAAGUCUGACGCAGCGACGCCGCGUGUGGGAUGACGGUCUUCGGAUUGUAAACCACUGUCGGGAGGGACGAAUACGCCGCAAGGCGGGUGACGGUACCUCCAAAGGAAGCACCGGCUAACUCCGUGCCAGCAGCGGCGGUAAUAC
rnacentral:rRNA from 1 species